AUAUUUUUGUGAUUCAUAAGUAUAAUGAUGGAGUUUUCAUAUUCACGUGUGAGAUGUGCCCCCCUCAAACCUCUUUAUGAUGUCAGCACAUUGCUCAUCUGACA
ensembl:snoRNA